GUCAAGUUCACGUCCGGCCCGCGGGCUGCCCGGGGUCCCCGGGCGCGGCUGGGGCAGCGGGAGGCGCGGGAGGCCGAGGUCCCGGGUGGCCGCCGCGGCCGCCCCCGAGGCGCUGCUGUCACCCCGGCCGCGCCCCCCAACUUUCUGCACAGUCGCGGAGCUGGAAGUUUCCGGGCUUCGCGGACACGCUGGGCUGGGUUUCAGCCGCGGCUCGGAGGUUGGCAACAAAGAGGGAAAGAAGGAGGAAAAGCAGGCCGGGGAGGGGAGGAAGAGAACCGCGCGGAGGCCGCGGCGCCGAGAGCCCCAGAACUUCCAAUUCUACCCAGAAGCUUUUUUCGUUGUGUUUUUCUCUUAAGAGGCUCUGAGAGUUACAUAAUUGAUUCUGACUUUGGCUGUUGGUCAACAGUGUCAUAAGGUAAAAUAAGGCUGUUGUAGAAUCUGCUCAGCCAGGGAGGAGAAAGGAGUCG